UACAGAGGUCCCAAGCGUUGUUCGGAUUCACUGGGCGUAAAGGGUGCGUAGGCGGUCGGGUAAGUCUGAUGUGAAAUCUCACAGCUUAACUGUGAAACUGCAUUGGAUACUAUCCGGCUAGAGGAAUGGAGGGGAGACUGGAAUACUUGGUGUAGCAGUGAAAUGCGUAGAUAUCAAGUGGAACACCGGUGGCGAAGGCGGCCUGCUGGGCUAUGGCUGACACUGAGGCGCGACAGCGUGGGGAGCAAACAGG
rnacentral:rRNA from 1 species